rnacentral:misc_RNA from 1 species
CGGACGCCGAGCAAGGCUCGGCCGAACGAUGCGCAG